UACGUAGGGAGCAAGCGUUGUCCGGAAUCAUUGGGCGUAAAGCGCGCGUAGGCGGCCCUGUAAGUCCGUUGUGAAAGUCAAAGGCUCAACCCUUGAAUGCCGGUUGAUACUGUCGGGCUAGAGUCCGGAAGAGGCGAGUGGAAUUCCCGGUGUAGCGGUGAAAUGCGCAGAUAUCGGGAGGAACACCAAUGGCGAAGGCAGCUCGCUGGGACGGUACUGACGCUGAGACGCGAAAGCGUGGGGAGCAAACAGG
rnacentral:rRNA from 1 species